rnacentral:rRNA from 1 species
GACGAACGCUGGCGGCGUGCUUAACACAUGCAAGUCGAACGAUGAACCCGGAGCUUGCUCCGGUGGAUUAGUGGCGAACGGGUGAGUAACACGUGAGUAACCUGCCCUUGACUCUGGGAUAACUGCGGGAAACUGCAGGUAAUACCGGAUGAUAUCUUCGGAUCAAAGGUGUGAUUCCGUCUAGAGAGGGGCCCGCGUCCUAUUAGCUAGUUGGCGAGGUAAUGGCUCACCAAGGCAAUGAUGGGUAGCGGGUGUGAGAGCAUGACCCGCAUCAUUGGGACUGAGACACUGCCCAGACACCUACGGGUGGCUGCAGUCGAGAAUCUUCGGCAAUGAGCGAAAGCCUGACCGAGCGACGCCGCGUGCGGGAUGAAGGCCUUCGGGUUGUAAACCGCUGUCAGUGGGGAGGAAAUGUCGGUGGGUUCUCCCAACGAUUUGACCUAUCCGCAGAGGAAGUACGGGCUAAGUUCGUGCCAGCCGCCGCGGUAA